AUGUUGCAUAGAUUGUCUAUGCCUUGAGUGUAGAGGAAGAAGUUUCCUUUCAAAUGUCAAAGGCCAAGAGGGCCCUGGCCCAGCUCCCACAGAUGCAUGGGGGAAGUGCUCUCAGCAGGGGGAGGGAGGGAAUCGGAGCAGGGCAGAAGACUACAGCUGAGCAGGAGCGCUGCCAGGAGGAGAGGUGCUUCAGCCCAAGCCCGUAGGCACCUCUGAGCGCAGGCUGCACCGCAAUUCCAGCUCCUAAGGACAGAGCCCGUCCACGGUAGCCUCCCCUGCACUCCCCGCGUUCUGGUCAGGUGCCGGCAGGCAGCGGUGAGUUGCCAGCUCCCUUGGGCUCCUGGGAUGGAUGCAUCACCAGAAGUACUGGUAGGGAUUAUCGUGGGUACCAACAGCAUGGGGCGGGGAGACCAGGCAGCAAAAAGGAAAGGGUCAUAUAAGUAGAUAAGAAUUUCUGGUUGUGAUACAUGCAGUGAAGAAGAAAUGGAAAUAAAACAACUUGGGACUGGGUACAGCAGAAGCUAAUUUAGGCACGGUGCAUGAGGAAGACACCACAUUGCUGCUGAGACCUGAACGGGAGACCCAGUCCGGUGAUCUGCGGCAGGGCCAGAGGCUGGAAGGAGUGGGAAAAGCUGUCAAACCCAAGGAGCCAGGUGUGAUGGCACAUGCCUGGAAUCCCAACACUUGGGAGGCUGAACCACAAGGAUUGUCACGUUUUCAAGGGAAGUCCUGCACCACUCAGCCACACCCCAGAACUGACUCCUUGAGAUACUAUGCAAGUAAUACAACACCUGCCCUUUCCCGAAACAAUGAGGCAU